GCAGCAGGAUAGUGUAUAUCGGUGCUAUGCUCUUAUGUAGUUUCCGAACGUGUUUCUUGCUACAGUAACUUUGGGGAAAAUGGGCAGUUGGGUUACACCAUAAUCUUUCAUUGGUAUCUCAACAAUCAUUUUUCCCAUAUUC